AGCGCAGACGGUUGAUUAAGUCUGAUGUGAAAGCCCGGAGCUCAACUCCGGAAUGGCAUUGGAAACUGGUUAACUUGAGUGCAGUAGAGGUAAGUGGGACUCCAUGUGUAGCGGUGGAAUGCGUAGAUAUAUGGAAGAACACCAGUGGCGAAGGCGGCUUACUGGACUGUAACUGACGUUGAGGCUCGAAAGUGUGGGUAGCAAACA
rnacentral:rRNA from 1 species